GCUUGCUGGGUGGAUCAGUGGCGAACGGGUGAGUAACACGUGAGCAACCUGCCCUCCACUUCGGGAUAAGCCUUGGAAACGGGGUCUAAUACCGGAUAUGAGCAUCUGCCGCAUGGUGGGUGUUGGAAAGUUUUUCGGUGGGGGAUGGGCUCGCGGCCUAUCAGCUUGUUGGUGGGGUGAUGGCCUACCAAGGCGUCGACGGGUAGCCGGCCUGAGAGGGCGACCGGCCACACUGGGACUGAGACACGGCCCAGACUCCUACGGGAGGCAGCAGUGGGGAAUAUUGCACAAUGGGCGAAAGCCUGAUGCAGCGACGCCGCGUGAGGGAUGACGGCCUUCGGGUUGUAAACCUCUUUCAGCAGGGAAGAAGGCCUUCGGGUGGACGGUACCUGCAGAAGAAGCGCCGGCUAACUACGUGCCAGCAGCCGCGGUAAUACGUAGGGCGCAAGCGUUGUCCGGAAUUAUUGGGCGUAAAGAGCUCGUAGGCGGUCUGUCGCGUCUGGUGUGAAAACCCGAGGCUCAACCUCGGGCUUGCAUCGGGUACGGGCAGACUAGAGUGCGGUAGGGGAGACUGGAAUUCCUGGUGUAGCGGUGGAAUGCGCAGAUAUCAGGAGGAACACCGAUGGCGAAGGCAGGUCUCUGGGCCGCAACUGACGCUGAGGAGCGAAAGCAUGGGGAGCGAACAGGAUUAGAUACCCUGGUAGUCCAUGCCGUAAACGUUGGGCACUAGGUGUGGGGCUCAUUCCACGAGUUCCGUGCCGCAGCUAACGCAUUAAGUGCCCCGCCUGGGGAGUACGGCCGCAAGGCUAAAACUCAAAGGAAUUGACGGGGGCCCGCACAAGCGGCGGAGCAUGCGGAUUAAUUCGAUGCAACGCGAAGAACCUUACCAAGGCUUGACAUGCACCGGACGCUGCCAG
rnacentral:rRNA from 1 species